rnacentral:rRNA from 1 species
AAAGGAAUAGACGGGGACCCGCACAAGCGGUGGAGCAUGUGGUUUAAUUCGAAGAUACGCGAAGAACCUUACCUGGGCUUGACAUCCUAAAAACAUCUAAGAGAUUAGAAAGUGCUAGUUCGCUAGAAUUUAGUGACAGGUGCUGCACGGCUGUCGUCAGCUCGUGUCGUGAGAUGUUGGGUUAAGUCCCGCAACGAGCGCAACCCACGUGUUUAGUUGCUAACAGUUAGGCUGAGCACUCUAAACAGACUGCCUUCGCAAGGAGGAGGAAGGUGUGGACGACGUCAAGUCAUCAUGGCCCUUAUGUCCAGGGCGACACACGUGCUACAAUGACAUAUACAGUGAGAUGCAAUAUCGCGAGAUGGAGCAAAUCUAUAAAAUAUGUCCCAGUUCGGAUUGGAGUCUGCAACUCGACUCCAUGAAGCCGGAAUCGCUAGUAAUCGUAGAUCAGCCAUGCUACGGUGAAUACGUUCCCGGGUCUUGUACACACCGCCCGU